rnacentral:rRNA from 1 species
GACAGAGGGUGCAAACGUUGUUCGGAAUUACUGGGCGUAAAGCGAGUGUAGGCGGUUUCCUAAGUCAGGUGUGAAAGCCCCGGGCUCAACCCGGGAAGUGCACUUGAAACUGGGAGGCUAGAGUACUGGAGAGGUUGGUGGAAUUCUCGGUGUAGAGGUGAAAUUCGUAGAUAUCGAGAGGAACACCGGUGGCGAAGGCGGCCAACUGGACAGAUACUGACGCUGAGACUCGAAAGCGUGGGGAGCAAACAGG